AUUUGCUAACCAGUGACAGAAAUGGAUUCGAAAUACCAGUGUGUGAAGCUGAAUGAUGGUCACUUCAUGCCUGUCCUGGGAUUUGGCACCUAUGCGCCUGCAGAGGUUCCUAAAAGUAAAGCUCAAGAGGCCGUCAAAUUGGCAAUAGAAGCCGGGUUCCGCCAUAUUGAUUCUGCACAUGUUUACAAUAAUGAGGAGCAGGUUGGACUGGCCAUCCGAAGCAAGAUUGCAGAUGGCAGUGUGAAGAGAGAAGACAUAUUCUACACUUCAAAGCUUUGGAGCAAUUCCCAUCGACCAGAGUUGGUCCGACCAGCCUUGGAAAGGUCACUGAAAAAUCUUCAAUUGGACUAUGUUGACCUCUACCUUAUUCAUUUUCCAGUGUCUGUAAAGGAGGACAUAUGGAUUUUAACAUGGAAGAAGAGCCCUAAACAUAACUCCUAAUUCCUUUCUAUGGAAUAGAAAGCAAUUUUGAAUCCGUACUUCCGUGAUUGCAUGUCUACAAGAAAAGAGAGUGCAGAAUCCUCAAAGCCUCUGCCUCAAAAACUUGA
rnacentral:sRNA from 1 species